rnacentral:misc_RNA from 1 species
GGAUGAAGAACGUAGCGAAAUGCGAUAAGUAAUGUGAAUUGCAGAAUUCAGUGAAUCAUCGAAUCUUUGAACGCACAUUGCGCCCGCCAGUAUUCUGGCGGGCAUGCCUGUCCGAGCGUCAUUUCAACCCUCGAGCCCCCCCCGGGGGGGUCGGCGUUGGGGAUCGGCUGCCGAAGAUAGUAGGCUGCCGGCCCCGAAAUACAGUGGCGGUCUCGCCGCAGCCUCUCCUGCGCAGUAGCUUGCACGCUCGCAACGGGAGCGCGGCGCGUCCACGGCCGUGAAACAACCCAAUCUUUCCGAAAGGUUGACCUCGGAUCAGGUAGGAAUACCCGCUGAACUUAAGCAUAUCAAUAAGCGGAGGA